GGAGAGGCCACAGCAGAGGAAGGCCCGCAUACCACAAAAAAAAAAAACAACAACACUCUCUUCAAGGUCACCAGCUGCCUCCAUGUUGCCAAAUCCCGUGGUCUUCAUCUUGACCUAUGAGCAGCUUUUGACACAACUGUUCCCUCUCUCUUCAAGACACAUCCUUCACCUGGAUUCUGGCUGAUAUUUUUUUCUGUUUGCUGGACUGGCUUCCUCUUCGCAUCCUAUAAAUUCCCAUGUGGGAAUGCCAGGCAUUUGACCCUCAUAAUAAUCCUGUGAGAUGGGUAUUAUUACUCUUAUUUUACAAAUUAGGAAACUAAGACUCACAGAUUAGGUAACUGAUUCAAACUUAUAAUGAAUAUGUCUGACAUCAGAAGCCACAUUCCUUCACGACCCCCUUAGUGUUUCCUGUCUUGAUAACCGUACAAGAUCAAUGUUUCUUCAGGAAUGGUCUGAACUACCUGCCCCAGAAUCACCUGGACUGUUGUUUGGAAGAAUCACAGAGUCCAGACCCAUGGAAUCAGAGUUUCUGGCAGUGGAGCCCACCCCUUGUCUGUGCAGCAAGCUCUACAUGUGAUUCUGACGUCAUUCGUGCUUAAGCCCCUUCCCCCAGCACCCCUCCCCACGGCUGAUGGGUAUCUCUGAGACAGGCCCGAUUUCCAGGAUUGAUCUCAACGUUUCUGCCACAUGCUCUGUACUCCAUUAUAGGGGAAGAAUGAAACAGAUGAGCCAUGGAUUGACACUUUCUGGGUGGCUCUCUUAAACUGAGAAUAGUCUGAACAGGAGCUGCACGGUCACCCAGACAGGACAUUGGCACAUCAGUAGGGUGAUGGGCCCUGUACCAUCUGGAGACCACGUUUGCUAACCAUUGUCACUGCUUAGAGAAGAUAUUACACAGUUCAGGUUGGGCUUUGAGGAGCAUUUCAGAGCAAACUUUGGUCCGUAGAUGUGGCUAUUGAAAUCAUUCAUUGAAACAUUCACUGAGUGUUUUCUAUCUGCCAGACACUAUGUAGUUGCAAAGUGCUUUGCGUGUAGUAUUAUCUAACAACGCUAUGAGGUGGGUAGUAAUAUUAUCGUCAUUUGGUUGCUACAGAAGCUGAGGCCGGUUGCUCAAGGUCACAGAGUUCCUAAGUGUUGGAGCCAAAACUCAAAUCCAGGCCAUGGUGUGGAAUAUUCAGUAGCUGUCUGACUGAGCUUCAGGAUGCCAAGUCUUGGGCUCAGUGAGCUGAAUUGUCUUCUGAUAGUUCUGGCUGAAUGGAUCAAUGGACCCUUCAGCCAUUCAGCACUUAUACGUUAUUGAGACCCUCUAGUGGAAUCCCAGGGUGAGAAGAGAUACUUGCUUCCAGAAACUCACAGCAUAAUUAGGGAAACAACUCACAUGCAAGAAAUUGUAAUAACACAGAAUUGCUGGGCUUUUCACCCUGUGGGUUUGUGUGUGAGAGUAUGUGUUAGUGUGAGUGUUUAUGGGUGUGUGUGUGUGUGUAACAGGAGCAGGGGUGUGGGAAGAGAAGGCAGUGCUUAAGGGGGUGGGGGUAGGAGAAGUGAUGUGGCUCCAGGACCCGGUUCAGGGGGCCUGGGGAUUCAGGGUCCUCCCCGAGUGGUGAGACAAGAGGAUUCUACGUGGAGGUGACACUCAAAGUCAAGUGACGGCACCUUAGACUAUCUGGGGAGCCUUUAAAAAUACCAGUGCCUGGGCCCUACCCACAAAAAUUCAUUUCAUCGGGCCAAGCAGGGGAUAGGAGAGAGAGAGACAAGUCAUUUUUAGAAGCCCCCUUCAUAAGUCUGAAUAUCUGGACUGAAAACUGCACAAGGGCAUGCCUUCCCAGCCUCUUCCAGGCCCCCCUGUUUGGAAUCCAAGCCACAGACCUUUCAACAGACUUCCUGGUGCAGGACCUUCUUGUUCUCUCUUUCCUGUGACUGAAAGGUUGGAUGACCAUGUACACGCCUGCUAGGAGAGGCCACCACCUGUUGCUGUAAAUCUGGUGCAGUUUCAUCAUCGCUUUGCCCGACGUAUUCUCGGUAUCUUAUAUCUACAUGUGGAUGGAUGGUCUGUUGUUUUCUGCCUUGUGGAGCUUGUGCAGUCACAAGGGGAUGUGUGCUGUGUGCUGUGAUGCCGCCGGGGUUUUUGCCCUGUAAAUAUAGGCUGGGUGAGUUUAUUUAUAGGAAAUGAGGAUGGUUACCUUUGAUCGUUAUUCACUGGAGCAGGUUUUCGCGUGUCUCUUCUUUCUUUAAUUCAUUGCCGGGGAAAGAUUUUCAAAUAAAUCACUCUUGUGAAGUGAAUUCUAAGCACUUCAGGGAAAUUCUUCCUAUGUGGGAGCUUCAUCGAGGUUUGAGCAAAUGAUCGGAAAUCUCCCCAGAGUAAUUAGAAAGAUGGGAAACCUGGGAGAGAAGAGCUUUGUAGAUGUACUUGACAAUGCCUUAGACAGUGGUUCUCAAUUUUGGCUGCAACGUUAGAAUCUUCCAGGGAACUUAAAAAUCAAAACAAACACAACAAAACUCCCCAAUCCCAGGCUGCACCUUGGAACAAUUGAAUAAGAGCCUCUGGGACACGGGACCUGGCAUCAGUACUUUUCAAAGCUCCUUAGAUGAUUCCAUUGUGUAGCCAAGGUUAGGAACCAUUGGGUGAAGGGAUAAGAGAGGCUUAAUAAAGAAGAGGGAGCCCCAAUAAUUUGCAAGAAAGAAAAGGAAGAAGGCAAGAUUAGGGAACAGUCAUGUACAGCAGCUUUGGAAUGUCAUAGUUAAGUCCUGCCAGUUCCAGGAACUCAGCUUAGCCUUAAGAAACUGAUGGCCAAUCUCCAAACAUCCUUGCAGUCUUCAGUUCACGAGCCAUUUGCAUCACGAGGCCCAGGGUACAUGUGAGGGCUGAUAAUGAGAGGAGCAUCCUGCUUCUUCUGUGCCCCUUGGCCCAGGGAGGAAGGGAGAAGGGACUUCAAGAUCACUCUGAUUCUCUACGCGGCCAGGGAUCCGAAAAGAUCACUGCCAAAGAGGGUUAGGAAAGUAUGUAUAUAUAUAUUUCUGAACCACUGAGGUUCAGAAAACCCUUUACUCCUGAACACUUCAGCGUAUAUUUCCCGUGAGCAAGGACAGUCUCUCACAUAACCACAGAACUGUGGAAAUAAACAAAGACCCACCAAAUGAAAAAAGCAAAGGUUAUUUAUUCUGAGCUUGCUACAGCAAGGGAGUCGGCCACCAUCACUUGAAUUUUGAAAGAGAUGCAAAGAAAGGCGGAGGAGUUGAGAAAGCUUUAUAGUGGAGAAAAGGGAAGGCUUCAGGAAAGAACACACAGACCUUGACCCGAUUCAUGUCUAACUAGAGCAGG